GGCCCUGAACCAACGUCAAGAGAAGUCCUUCCAUUGACACAGGGCUUUGAGCAAGCUUAGCAGCAGCACCUUUGCCAGUGUUUAAAAAGAGACUCACUUUUACCAGCUCUUCCUUGCCAUCAAUCUUAAGAAACCUGGACUCUUGAGAGGAGCAAAAGGAGUUGGAUCUUUGCCAAGAGAUGCUUUCAUCGGAAAAGAGAUGCUGCGGAGUCUCUGAGGCAUUUGCAUUCUGGGCUUGGCAAAUGUUCAACUGCUAGUUUUAAGCAGCCGGGCAGACUGAGAUGAGCAGUAGGAUUGACACUGUUCCCAAGUUCUGUUUGCAGCGGCAAAGAGGGACAGGGGAAACGCUGAGCUGGAUGGGCUGAGAAGCAAGGUCGGGAGGGCUCUCCAUCCCCACCCCACCCCACCCCACAGCUGGCCAGUGAGAUCUCCUUCAACCACCUACAGGGGAACUCCCAUCCUAAGCCUAAGCUCUUUGGGACAGAAGGACUCUCCUGUAUGGAUCUGUAUCUGCCUGGUGGGGACAGCGGCUCCUUCUCCUCCUCCAUUUACCUCUGUUGCUCGGCAGCU